GAGCCAGUCUAUGCAUGUCUGGGGUUGAGAACUUAUUCCUGAUUGAUGUAACCUUGUUGGAAAAGAAAGUGGCAAAGUCAUUUGCAGUUAGAGAGGUAGGGGAAGGGGGAGGAGGGGGGCAGAGAAGAGAAGAAAAGGUUUUGAAGAGAGUGUGGUUGUUGGGAGAACUGCCAAUCUUCUCUUUGUAGUAUGUGGUAUGUGAUAUACCUUUCUACUAGUGCACUGUAAGACCCUAACCUGUGUGCGUGUCUGUCUUUACCAGAGGAGAUGCUAUUGGAAUAAGAGGAGAGAAAGUGUUUCGUAAUUGGUUAGGUCAGUUGGAUUGUUAGAUGUACACCAUUUCCUUUUAGAUGCUCUUAGUUUGGCCCGGUUGUUACGCAGAGCUUCUGAGAGCCAAGGGCAGGUCUGGAUGUUAGGGGGCAGAUGCUGUCAAGAGAAGAUGUUAGGGUGGAACAUAGCAAGUCAGUUGCGGUGUUUAAGUCCAGUGAGGAGAGGUGGCUAUCAGCGGGAAGUAAGGUUGUGACAACGGAGGAGAAAUGUGAGGGGGAAAGGAAGCGAAGAUUGCGAUGAAAAGAGAUAGAGGAUGGAGACAGUGAAGGGGGUGAGGGGAGAGAAAUAGAGAACUGGAUAAAGAAAUGGUCAGAGGUGUGGAGAGGAGUAAUGAAAAGAUUGUGUGUGGUUCAAUUACGUGUGAGGAUGAGGUCGAGCUGUUGCCGGCUUUGUGGGUUGCUAGUGUGGUGAACUGGUGAACUGCUUGAGGUCAAUUGUGGUUAGGAGAGCAAGAAAGUCAGCUGCAUGUGGCUUGUCUAGAUGAAUUUUGAAGUCACCAAGGACCAUAAGGGGAGUUUCAUCAUCUGGGAUGGUGGACAGUAGCAUGUCAAAUUCAUCGAUCAACUUCCCCAGUUGACCUAGAGGACGGUAAACAACCAGAAAGUGCAUUUUGGCAGGGUCAGUGACUUUAACAGCAUGAAAAUCAAAGGAAGUGUAGGAGCAAGAAGGAGAAAGAAAGGAAACACGGGAGUUACCUGCCUGUUUGAGGUAGCCAGACCACAUGGUGCCCUCAUCUUCACAGUUUCUUAUCGAAAGUGACCUCUUCCUGGUAGCAGGCGAAUGCUCGGCCAUUCCUUCCUUCAUGGCGGACCAUGUAUUGCAGGUCUCAGCAGAGCUUUUGUCCAUGUGUUCGUUCUUGGUUCACAUGAUACAGCCACUUUACUGUUGGAGGACUGCCCUGAUAUUGAUCUGCGAGAGAUCAUCAACCUGGUUCUUGGGAGAAAAACAUGCCAAAUGAAACAACUCAGACGAGGAUACAAUGGUUUGGUCGCUUCUGAUGGAGAGGAAGGAUGUGGUGUUUUUUCCAGUGGAAUCCGAAGACUCUUGCUCCUCUGAGUGUUUAGCCAACAGUCUACUGGUCAUGAUGUAGAUGCUGCUUUCUCGAAUAUCCUGGCCUGCUGCUGCUGCUGCUGCUGCUGCUGAUGAUGAUGAUGAAUACCCAGCUGAAACAAACCAACAUAUCAUUGGGUACUUGAGGCAGUUCAUUCAGAUGGGUAUGGUAUCAGCAAUGUCCCUCUAAAUUUAUAUUAGCUUAUUUACAUUACGUUUACAUUAAAUAUAAAUACAUUUAAAUACAUUUACAUUAAAUAUAAAUAAGAUUUUAAACAUAUUUGUCAUAAUCUGACAUUUGUGUGUCUUCAUGUCUAUGUAAAUGUUUUGCAGUUAUGUUUUGCAUUUGAAAAUAAAGUGAAUAAUGUGCUGCCUAAAGGGGAAACCGUGAGACAGAGAAAACAACAGAAAAACUGUAUAAAAAUAUAUACUGUCAUAUUGAUUAACAGUGUAACUGAAUAUAUUGCUCGGUUCAUCUUCUCUUGUGGCUUGUCUGCACAAUCCCACCACUAGGGGGCGGCCCAGAGUAACAUGUUACGAUAGAAUCGGCAAUCCAUUGCUCUUCCUGUGAGACCCGGAUGUGAAGGAAUUUUUGCAGCCUGAAUUUGUGAGGUUGGAAAAUAAUGUGUCGAAAUAUUAAAUGAUGAAUAACGAUGAUGGCAUUUUAACAACUGAAUAUUUUGGAAAGUAUUUUUGGAAGGUGAAUAUGUGUGCAUUGAAUUUUGAAUGCUGGAAUUUUGUUUUCCAUCAAAAUAUACAAACCCAAUGAAUUGCAGAGGAAACUAAUUCAAGCACUGAUAUUGCUUUUUGUUUUAAUGUUUUUUUUUUCUGAUUUGUGUCAAAUUGCUGGGCAGAAAAAUUCAAUUAUUGUCAUUGCGAUAUGUUUUUAUUCAAUUUACGUAAUUCAACAUGCCAUUUUGCCUUGAGGACAUUUGGCACUAUUAUACUUUCGUAAGUAACAGAGAUGAGUCUUUAAGAAAUAAUAAUAAUAAAAAAAAAAAAACACAAGAA